rnacentral:rRNA from 1 species
GAUGAACGCUGGCGGCGUGCCUAAUACAUGCAAGUCGAGCGAACAGACGAGGAGCUUGCUCCUCUGACGUUAGCGGCGGACGGGUGAGUAACACGUGGAUAACCUACCUAUAAGACUGGGAUAACUUCGGGAAACCGGAGCUAAUACCGGAUAAUAUAUUGAACCGCAUGGUUCAAUAGUGAAAGACGGUUUUGCUGUCACUUAUAGAUGGAUCCGCGCCGCAUUAGCUAGUUGGUAAGGUAACGGCUUACCAAGGCAACGAUGCGUAGCCGACCUGAGAGGGUGAUCGGCCACACUGGAACUGACACACGGUCCAGACUCCUACGGGAGGCAGCAGUAGGGAAUCUUCCGCAAUGGGCGAAAGCUUGGCGGAGCAACGCCGCGUGAGUGAUGAAGGUCUUCGGAUCGUAAAACUCUGUUAUUAGGGAAGAACAAAUGUGUAAGUAACUAUGCACGUCUUGACGGUACCUAAUCAGAAAGCCACGGCUAACUACGUG